UACGUAGGGGGCUAGCGUUGUUCGGAUUUACUGGGCGUAAAGCGCGCGCAGGCGGCCAUUCAAGCCGAGGGUGAAAUCCCAGAGCUCAACUCUGGAAUUGCCUUCGAGACUGUCUGGCUUCGAGUACGGGAGAGGUGAGUGGAAUUCCCAGUGUAGAGGUGAAAUUCGUAGAUAUUGGGAAGAACACCAGUGGCGAAGGCGGCUCACUGGCCCGUUACCGACGCUCAGGCGCGACAGCGUGGGGAUCAAACAGG
rnacentral:rRNA from 1 species